UUAAGCGACUAAGCGUACACGGUGGAUGCCCUGGCAGUCAGAGGCGAUGAAGGACGUGCUAAUCUGCGAAAAGCGUCGGUAAGGUGAUAUGAACCGUUACAGCCGGCGAUGUCCGAAUGGGGAAACCCAGUGCAAUUCGUUGCACUAUCGUUAACUGAAUACAUAGGUUAACGAGGCGAACCGGGGGAACUGAAACAUCUAAGUACCCCGAGGAAAAGAAAUCAACCGAGAUUCCCCCAGUAGCGGCGAGCGAACGGGGAGCAGCCCAGAGUCUGAAUCAGCUUGUGUGUUAGUGGAACGGUCUGGAAAGUCCGACGGUACAGGGUGAUAGUCCCGUACACCAAAAUGCACAGGCUGUGAACUCGAAGAGUAGGGCGGGACACGUGGUAUCCUGUCUGAAUAUGGGGGGACCAUCCUCCAAGGCUAAAUACUCCUGACUGACCGAUAGUGAACCAGUACCGUGAGGGAAAGGCGAAAAGAACCCCGGCGAGGGGAGUGAAAAAGAACCUGAAACCGUGUACGUACAAGCAGUGGGAGCACCUUCGGGUGUGACUGCGUACCUUUUGUAUAAUGGGUCAGCGACUUAUAUUCUGUAGCAAGGUUAACCGUAUAGGGGAGCCGCAGGGAAACCGAGUCUUAACUGGGCGUUAAGUUGCAGGGUAUAGACCCGAAACCCGGUGAUCUAGCCAUGGGCAGGUUGAAGGUUGGGUAACACUAACUGGAGGACCGAACCGACUAAUGUUGAAAAAUUAGCGGAUGACUUGUGGCUGGGGGUGAAAGGCCAAUCAAACCGGGAGAUAGCUGGUUCUCCCCGAAAGCUAUUUAGGUAGCGCCUCGUGAAUUCAUCUUCGGGGGUAGAGCACUGUUUCGGCUAGGGGGUCAUCCCGACUUACCAACCCGAUGCAAACUACGAAUACCGAAGAAUGUUAUCACGGGAGACACACGGCGGGUGCUAACGUCCGUCGUGAAGAGGGAAACAACCCAGACCGCCAGCUAAGGUCCCAAAGUCAUGGUUAAGUGGGAAACGAUGUGGGAAGGCACAGACAGCCAGGAUGUUGGCUUAGAAGCAGCCAUCAUUUAAAGAAAGCGUAAUAGCUCACUGGUCGAGUCGGCCUGCGCGGAAGAUGUAACGGGGCUAAACCAUGCACCGAAGCUGCGGCAGCGACACUAUGUGUUGUUGGGUAGGGGAGCGUUCUGUAAGCCUGCGAAGGUGUGCUGUGAGGCAUGCUGGAGGUAUCAGAAGUGCGAAUGCUGACAUAAGUAACGAUAAAGCGGGUGAAAAGCCCGCUCGCCGGAAGACCAAGGGUUCCUGUCCAACGUUAAUCGGGGCAGGGUGAGUCGACCCCUAAGGCGAGGCCGAAAGGCGUAGUCGAUGGGAAACAGGUUAAUAUUCCUGUACUUGGUGUUACUGCGAAGGGGGGACGGAGAAGGCUAUGUUAGCCGGGCGACGGUUGUCCCGGUUUAAGCAUGUAGGCUGAUUGUCCAGGCAAAUCCGGAUAAUCAAGGCUGAGGUGUGAUGACGAGGCACUACGGUGCUGAAGUAACAAAUGCCCUGCUUCCAGGAAAAGCCUCUAAGCAUCAGGUAACAUUAAAUCGUACCCCAAACCGACACAGGUGGUCAGGUAGAGAAUACCAAGGCGCUUGAGAGAACUCGGGUGAAGGAACUAGGCAAAAUGGUGCCGUAACUUCGGGAGAAGGCACGCUGGUGUGUAGGUGAAGCCCCUGCGGGUGGAGCUGAGACCAGUCGAAGAUACCAGCUGGCUGCAACUGUUUAUUAAAAACACAGCACUGUGCAAACACGAAAGUGGACGUAUACGGUGUGACGCCUGCCCGGUGCCGGAAGGUUAAUUGAUGGGGUUAUCCGUAAGGAGAAGCUCUUGAUCGAAGCCCCGGUAAACGGCGGCCGUAACUAUAACGGUCCUAAGGUAGCGAAAUUCCUUGUCGGGUAAGUUCCGACCUGCACGAAUGGCGUAAUGAUGGCCAGGCUGUCUCCACCCGAGACUCAGUGAAAUUGAACUCGCUGUGAAGAUGCAGUGUACCCGCGGCAAGACGGAAAGACCCCGUGAACCUUUACUAUAGCUUGACACUGAACAUUGAGCCUUGAUGUGUAGGAUAGGUGGGAGGCUUUGAAGCGUGGACGCCAGUCUGCGUGGAGCCAACCUUGAAAUACCACCCUUUAAUGUUUGAUGUUCUAACGUUGGCCCCUGACCGGGGUUGCGGACAGUGUCUGGUGGGUAGUUUGACUGGGGCGGUCUCCUCCCAAAGCGUAACGGAGGAGCACGAAGGUUAGCUAAUCCUGGUCGGACAUCAGGAGGUUAGUGCAAUGGCAUAAGCUAGCUUGACUGCGAGCGUGACGGCGCGAGCAGGUGCGAAAGCAGGUCAUAGUGAUCCGGUGGUUCUGAAUGGAAGGGCCAUCGCUCAACGGAUAAAAGGUACUCCGGGGAUAACAGGCUGAUACCGCCCAAGAGUUCAUAUCGACGGCGGUGUUUGGCACCUCGAUGUCGGCUCAUCACAUCCUGGGGCUGAAGUAGGUCCCAAGGGUAUGGCUGUUCGCCAUUUAAAGUGGUACGCGAGCUGGGUUUAGAACGUCGUGAGACAGUUCGGUCCCUAUCUGCCGUGGGCGCUGGAGAAUUGAGGGGGGCUGCUCCUAGUACGAGAGGACCGGAGUGGACGCAUCACUGGUGUUCGGGUUGUCAUGCCAAUGGCACUGCCCGGUAGCUAAAUGCGGAAGAGAUAAGUGCUGAAAGCAUCUAAGCACGAAACUUGCCCCGAGAUGAGUUCUCCCUGAGACUUUAAGUCUCCUGAAGGAACGUUGAAGACGACGACGUUGAUAGGCCGGGUGUGUAAGCGCAGCGAUGCGUUGAGCUAACCGGUACUAAUGAACCGUGAGGCUUAACCUU
rnacentral:rRNA from 1 species